CGAGGGGGGCAAAUGUUGUUCGGAAUCACUGGGCGUAAAGGGAGCGUAGGCGGGUUUUUAAGUCAGGUGUUUAAUCCCGGGGCCCAACCCCGGACCGGCACUUGAAACUGGGAAUCUUGAAUAGUGGAGAGGUCAGUGGAAUUGGGGGUGUAGCGGUGGAAUGCGUAGAGAUCCCCAAGAACACCAGUUGCGAAGGCGGCUGACUGGACACAUAUUGACGCUGAGGCUCGAAAGCAUGGGGAGCAAACAGGAUUAGAUACCCUGGUAGUCCAUGCCAUAAACGAUGAUUACUAGGUUUUGGGCCCGUCAACGGUCCAGAGCCGCAGCUAACGCGUUAAGUAAUCCGCCUGGGGAGUACGGUCGCAAGACUG
rnacentral:rRNA from 1 species